AGCUCGAUAGCGCAACGGUAGCGCGUCUGUUCUCUAUUGUACAUAGAUCGGAGUGGAUUUGAUUGUUAUUGUUGACGGAAGAUCUCGGUUUGACUCCGAGUCCGGGCUA